rnacentral:rRNA from 1 species
AGGUUGACCUCGGAUCAGGUAGGGAUACCCGCUGAACUUAAGCAUAUCAAUAAGCGGAGGAAAAGAAACCAACCGGGAUUGCCCUAGUAACGGCGAGUGAAGCGGCAAGAGCUCAAAUUUGAAAGCUGGCCCCCUCGGGGUCCGCGUUGUAAUUUGCAGAGGAUGCUUCGGGAGCGGUCCCCAUCUAAGUGCCCUGGAACGGGCCGUCAUAGAGGGUGAGAAUCCCGUCUGGGAUGGGGUGCCCGCGCCCGUGUGAAGCUCCUUCGACGAGUCGAGUUGUUUGGGAAUGCAGCUCUAAUUGGGUGGUAAAUUUCAUCUAAAGCUAAAUAUUGGCCGGAGACCGAUAGCGCACAAGUAGAGUGAUCGAAAGAUGAAAAGCACUUUGAAAAGAGAGUUAAACAGCACGUGAAAUUGUUGAAAGGGAAGCGCUUGCGAUCAGACUCGCUCGCGGGGUUCAGCCGGCAUUCGUGCCGGUGUACUUCCCCGCGGGCGGGCCAGCGUCGGUUUGGGCGGCCGGUCAAAGGCCCCUGGAAUGUAACGCCUCUCGGGGCGUCUUAUAGCCAGGGGUGCCAUGCGGCCUGCCCGGACCGAGGAACGCGCUUCGGCUCG